GACUGAGCUGAGGACUCAUGAGGAGUGCCACCAUCUUUUCCAUUUUUCAUUUUUCAUUUUUCACUGCACUUUCAUAUUCCUUCCUUUCCGAGUGCUGCUUCUUCUUCUUCUCCUUCAUUCCACUCCACUACACUACGCAUUCUACGCUUUCGAAACGCAUCGCUUUGCUCACGCCGAUAUUCCAACUCACUGAAUAACAGCGAGUCGAGUUCCGCCAACUCAUUCACAGACAGAAGGGAAAAAAAAAGAAAGAAAAAACAGAGCUACCAGACGCAACAAACUCCACUGACUUCUCCAUCGCUUCUAGAAGAUGUCUUUGUAUAUUGGUAAUAUGUCCGAGCACACCCGAAAGGAUGAGCUCGAGCAUGUUUUCCGUAGGUUUGGGCAUUGUAACGUUCAGCUGAAAAGGGAAGGAUAUGGGUUUGUGGUGUUUGACUUUCCUCCUAAUGCGACGAAGGCUUUGAGGGCAUUGAAAGGUAGGAAUAUAUGUGGGGAACCACUGACUCUGACGUGGUCCAAUAAGCAGCCUGCUGGGAGUUUUCAGAGGUUUCCUAGGGGUGGUGGUAAGAUCUACGAACCAAGACGUGGAAGGAAUUCUGAGAGGAUAGGGCAUGCGAGGAGGAAAAUGGGUUCCGAUGGAUGGAGGGAUCAGGAGAUGGGCAAUGAUGGUAGGGCUGAAUCUGUUGGGGUUCCUGGUGAGGAGAGAGGAUAUCAUCAAGAUGAUUUUAAAGACUAUGUUAGGGAAGAAAGAGAUUAUAGGGAAGAGUUUCGUGAUGAUGGCAGUGGAGUUGUGCCUGCCUUGGAGGAAAAUGGAAGAUGGGGUGAGCCAAUUCAGGACACAUCGGCUGGCAAUGGAAACGAAAAUGCUCUAGAAUUUGAUCGGUAUGAACCUUACCAUGGCUAUGACAUGAAGCAUGAUGAUAAUCAUAUAGGUUACCGCGGUAGUUCUCCUAGAGCAACAUCCUUAGAGAAUAUGGCCAGAGUGCGGAUUGGUGAGGAAACCGUGAAUCGUCCAAAGGACUCAAAAUUCCGGCAAACAUGCUAUAGAUGUGGUGAGCCAGGUCACAAAAUGCGAGAUUGUCCAAAACAGCAUUCUUCACGGAGAAAGUAUGAGAGGUUGGAUGGUAGGCGAAAUAAUAAAAUAGAUGGAAAUCAUAGAAUUGAAGAUGAAGAUAAAUUCAGGUCUGAAUCCUGGUCGAAGAUGCGGUCAAGUGGGGAUGCUUUAUCAAUGAGGAACCAGAGAGAUGAACGGAGGGGGUCUGCAUCACGACAAUACCAUUCACCAUUAAGAAACAAAUUGUCCCCUAUGGCAAAGGAAACCGACAGGCACCGAAGAAGGGAAUAUGGAGGGAAGAAGCGGUGCAGAAACGAAGUAGAAUCACCUAAAAGACCUAGGGGAAAAAGAUCAAGACGGUCAACCAGUUCUUCCUUGCAUUCAGAUUACUCUACUUCUCACUCACUCCCAAAUUCUCGAUCACCCAAGUCUCUGCGGAAGUCACGUUUCCGUUCCAGAUCAAGAUCAGUGUCUUCUAGAUCACACUCCUCAUCUUCAAAGUUAAUAUCUUCUUCAAAAUCUCCACACCGCAAUGGCAAAAGUUCAGAUUAUAGGAGGUCAAGCUCUCAUAGAUCUUUGUCUGUCUCACUCAAUCAGCCUUUGCCAUCAUCUGCAAAAAAGAUCGAGCCCAAUUCAAAAUCAUCUUCCAUUAAUGCUACUGCACUUGAAUGUAUGGAUCAUUUGGUUGUACAGGGACAUAAGAAUGGGAGUGCAAUGGAGUCGGUAAAUGUUCAAUCCAAGGAUGAAGGUCUUGCUGUAAAUGGAACUUCUGCAGUGCAAUCUACAGUGGUGGAUGACAUCGAAAAUGACCAAUGCGUUCAGGUGGACAAUGAUAAAAAUAGGAGUCUAAGACCAUCAGAUACAUUAGCAGAUUUAACCAAAUCGCUUGUUACCAGGAAUUUGUCUACAGAGGUUGUGAAAGAGAAAGAGCUUUCUUGUCACACUGAGACACCAUUGGUGCAUGAUAUUCAGAAGGGAAUUCAGAACCAAGUUUCAGAAACUUGUGUCAAUUCCCAUUCUCGUCAUACAACAGCCAUAUCCACAGAGGAAAUGUUCAUGGUUCUUAAGAAUUAUGGGUUGGAACUUCCAAAAGACAAUGAAGAAACUUUAUCAGUGGAUGCAUUCUUUGGUUCUGCUCGAUUGUGGCCUUGGCAUAUCGUUUAUUACCGUAGGUUGAAGAAGGGCCCAAUUUCAGCUGAGAACUAUGCUAGGCGUGUUGCACAGAAUCAGGAAUUUGGCAUUGUUGAUAAGUAUAUAAGAAGCAGCAGUGGAUGGGGAGAAGUUGAUCUUGUGAAUUCUUAAUACUGCAGCUACAAGUGAUCCCCUCUUUAGUAGAUUUAUCCUCGUUGAGUGCACUACAUUGUGAUGUUCUUCUUUUCGGCAUGGCUCUGUAUUUGCCCAGGCUUGCCAUGUCAUGGAGGAAAAAAAAAAGGGUGUUGCUCAUCAUCCUAGGUUAUCUCAUUGACUGGUGGACUAUAGCUAUUUCCUUUCCUUUUCAAGUAGGCUGGGUUUUGGAUUGAAUCACAUUAGCAUAUCUUCAUGUAAAUAAUAACUGAACUAUUAAUCUUGUGCGGAAUCAGAAAAUCAAGAAAUAACUAUAGUACGGGUUAAUCAGAAAAAAACGUUUGCUUUGCUGGUAAAUGGCAUUUUGUGUCUGUAAUGUGUUGGGUAGAACAA